AAGUGAAAAAAAACCCGGACUUCGAACCAAUUCGGAGCAGUGAAUAAGUGAUCAGACUGAAAGAAAAACCAAACACAGAACACACGAGCCCCUGAAUGCCUGAAGGUGCGUCUGGUCUGUACAAGGAAUACAAAGCCAUUGAACUGGAGUCCCAGGUAAAGCAGAGUUGUUUGACAGGAGAAAACAGCACCACAACAGGGCAGAAUGAACCAAGAUGGUGAUGGACUGCCCGACAUUCAGCUCCUCACCCUUUAUACGGAAAGCAUCCUGACUCUGACUGUCUCAAAUGGCUGAUGAACCAUUUCCAUGCCCCCAGAAGCCACUUUUGACUGAUUGCGUCAGGAUCUUCAUGAACGAAGGCUAUCUCCCUUAACAUGGCUGAGGUUUGCCUUUGUGUCUGUACUAAACGGCAAGGCAGGACAUAAGUAAUAUGAACCCAAUAUCUCUGGCUGAGGGGCAAAGUGCACAAGGACAAGAUAAUGCAAUGCUGCAAAAGCUCAAGCAGGAGACCCCCCUCAUGGAUGCAGGUCCAGUGCUGCUCAGAGGAGGCAGAGGAUCAACUCCGGUGCUGUC